UACGUAGGGGGCUAGCGUUGUCCGGAAUCAUUGGGCGUAAAGAGCGUGUAGGCGGUCCGGUAAGUCCGCUGUGAAAGUCGGGGGCUCAACCCUCGAAUGCCGGUGGAUACUGUCGGGCUAGAGUGCGGAAGAGGCGAGUGGAAUUCCUGGUGUAGCGGUGAAAUGCGCAGAUAUCAGGAGGAACACCGAUGGCGAAGGCAGCUCGCUGGGACGGUACUGACGCUGAGGCGCGAAAGCGUGGGGAGCGAACAGG
rnacentral:rRNA from 1 species